rnacentral:lncRNA from 1 species
UGAAGGCUUAUACAAAAUAGUUUCCUGCAAACUCAAGUGGCUGGGAAGCCCAGCUGAAGGUUACUUCUACCCCAAGGCCAUGUCAGCAGAAAGUGGCCAACAGGACUUGGGCCUGAAAAAGCUCAGACUGAAUUUUAGGAGUGACAUCUGAAACUGCUGGUUUCUCACAAGGAAUAAAAGCUGUCUGGGAAGCUGGAGAGGCAGUGUGCUGUCUGGAGCAGGGACUUGCAAAUGGGAACAGUGAAGAGAGACAGCAUCUCCUUCCUCUGAAGAUUCUGUUCAGAAUGGAUAAAGGUUCAGCAUCCUCCCUGGAUGGGGCAGCUUAGCAGAUACAGGGUCUCGCCAUGAGCCACAGCACCUGGCCACUUCUCAUUUUUAAUACUGUAGACCCAGAGGAAAGCACUGGGAGGAAUGAGAAAGUAGCGACUAGACAAAAAUGAAAACUCUUUAAGAAGCAUUGCUGAAGUUACAGGGGAAAAAGGGACUUGAAAGGCCACAUGCUUGCAAUAACAGAAGACUUGUAAGGAAAGGAAUCAGACCUAUGGGAUACAGCAAGGUGUCUUUCCACAAACUAAGAAGAGAAACCUCUCCAGGAACCCCAUCAGUUGGCACCUUGAUCUUGGACUUUUCAGUCUUCAGAACUGUGAGGAAAUGUCUGUUGCUGAAACCAUCCAGUCCAUGGUGUUUUUGCUGCAGCAGCCCAAACUAUAGCUCAAAAUAAAAAGGGAAGUCAGAUUAUGUGGGCUAAACUAUGCUUCUACUUUCUCUCCAACAAGAGAAAGUGAGCAAAGAAUGGAGACUUCAGGAGGUUAGGACUACUGCAGCGACUAUGGUCCUUUGGUCAAGGAACCCAAGGAUGACAUUGAGAUAGAGAUACCAACCAGAUCAGCAGUUCUCAAAUGAGAGAGGCAACCUCACAUCACCCUCAACCCCAAUAGACUUCUCCUAUCCCUGCUGUUAGCCAAGUCUUCCCUUCUGCCCAGAGAGCUCUCAGCCUUCUCUGUGUUCUACACAGCCUUUAAAACCAAGUUCAAGUUCCAACUCUUCGACAAAGCCUAACAUUGAUCUCAUCUUUCUCAGAAUUCCAUCGAUACACAUGAUGUAUACCAUUUGCUUACUAUCCUCAUAUGAAACGUGGUGUGACAGGCAGCAUUGAAUUUGCAGUAAUAUCUGGAUUCCACUGGAGAGUCACUCCUCACUAGCUAUGUCAACCAGAGUGGAUUAUUUAGCAUCCCGAAGCCUCAGUUUCCUGAUUUGCAAAAUGGGAAAAAUGAGAGGAUUCAAAGCCUCUAUCCUGAGGACAUAGAGCAAUGGGAACUCGCAUAUAUUAUUGGUUGGGUGUAAAUUGAUCCAAGCCCUUUGAAAACCAUUUGCUAGUGUCUCCUAAAGUUAAAUCUAUGCCUGUUCUAUGAGCUAGCAAUUCCACUCCUAGGUAUAUAACCAACAGAUAUGAGCGCUUAAGGCUGGGCGCAGUGGCUCACAC